rfam:Treponema succinifaciens DSM 2489, complete genome.
GGCGUCAUACCCAAGUGGUAAGGGACUGGUCUGCAAAACCACUAUGCAUCGGUUCGAUUCCGAUUGACGCCU